CUACGGGAGGCAGCAGUGGGGAAUAUUGGACAAUGGGCGCAAGCCUGAUCCAGCCAUGCCGCGUGAGUGAUGAAGGCCUUAGGGUUGUAAAGCUCUUUCACCGAUGAAGAGAAUGACGGUAGUCGGAGAAGAGCCCCG
rnacentral:rRNA from 2 species